rnacentral:misc_RNA from 1 species
GAUGAAGAACGCAGCGAAAUGCGAUAAGUAGUGUGAAUUGCAGAAUUCAGUGAAUCAUCGAAUCUUUGAACGCACAUUGCGCCCCUUGGUAUUCCAUGGGGCAUGCCUGUUCGAGCGUCAUUUGUACCCUCAAGCUUUGCUUGGUGUUGGGCGUCUUGUCUCGCGUUGCGCGUAGACUCGCCUUAAAGCGAUUGGCAGCCGGCAUUUUGGCCUUGGAGCGCAGCACAAUUUGCGCCUCUUGUCAUGAUUGUUGGCAUCCAUCAAGACCAUUUUUUUGCUCUUGACCUCGGAUCAGGUAGGGAUACCCGCUGAACUUAAGCAUAUCAAUAAGCGGAGGA